UACGUAGGUGGCAAGCGUUAUCCGGAUUUAUUGGGCGUAAAGCGAGCGCAGGUGGUUUAUUAAGUCUGGUGUAAAAGGCAGUGGCUCAACCAUUGUAUGCAUUGGAAACUGGUAGACUUGAGUGCAGGAGGGGAGAGUGGAAUUCCAUGUGUAGCGGUGAAAUGCGUAGAUAUAUGGAGGAACACCGGUGGCGAAAGCGGCUCUCUGGCCUGUAACUGACACUGAGGCUCGAAAGCGUGGGGAGCAAACAGG
rnacentral:rRNA from 1 species